UACGGAGGGAGCUAGCGUUGUUCGGAAUUACUGGGCGUAAAGCGCGCGUAGGCGGCUUUGUAAGUUAGAGGUGAAAGCCCGGGGCUCAACCCCGGAAUAGCCUUUAAGACUGCAUCGCUAGAAUCCGGGAGAGGUGAGUGGAAUUCCGAGUGUAGAGGUGAAAUUCGUAGAUAUUCGGAAGAACACCAGUGGCGGAAGGCGGCUCACUGGACCGGCAUUGACGCUGAGGUGCGAAAAGCGUGGGGAGCAAACAGG
rnacentral:rRNA from 1 species